GAUGAACGCUGGCGGCGUGCCUAAUACAUGCAAGUCGAGCGAACAGACGAGGAUCUUGCUCCUCUGACGUUAGCGGCGGACGGGUGAGUAACACGUGGAUAACCUACCUAUAAGACUGGGAUAACGUCGGGAAACCGGAGCUAACACCGGAUAAUAUAUUGAACCGCAUGGUUCAAUAGUGAAAGACGGUUUUGCUGUCACUUAUAGAUGUAUCCGCGCCGCAUUAGCUAGUUGGUAAGGUAACGGCUUACCAAGGCGACGAUGCGUAGCCGACCUGAGAGGGUGAUCGGCCACACUGGAACUGAGACACGGUCCAGACUCCUACGGGAGGCAGCAGUAGGGAAUCUUCCGCAAUGGGCGAAAGCCUGACGGAGCAACGCCGCGUGAGUGAUGAAGGUCUUCGGAUCGUAAAACUCUGUUAUUAGGGAAGAACAAAUGUGUAAGUAACUAUGCACGUCUUGACGGUACCUAAUCAGAAAGCCACGGCUAACUACGUG
rnacentral:rRNA from 1 species